GACGUAGGGCGCGAGCGUUGUCCGGAUUUAUUGGGCGUAAAGAGCUCGUAGGCGGCUUGUCGCGUCGAAUGUGAAAACCCGGGGCUCAACCCCGGGCGUGCAUUCGAUACUGCGCGGCUCGAGACAGGUAGGGGAGAUCGGAAUUCCUGGUGUAGCGGUGAAAUGCGCAGAUAUCAGGAGGAACACCGGUGGCGAAGGCGGAUCUCUGGGCCUGUUCUGACGCUGAGGCGCGAAAGCUAGGGGAGCGAACAGG
rnacentral:rRNA from 1 species